rnacentral:rRNA from 1 species
UACGGGGGGUGCGAGCGUUGUUCGGAAUUACUGGGCGUAAAGCGCGCGCAGGCGGCUCUUUAAGUCCACUGGUCAAAUGCCGGGGCUCAACCCCGUGCCCGCCAGGGAUACUGGAGAGCUGGAGACACGUAGAGGCAAGCGGAAUUCCGGGUGUAGCGGUGGAAUGCGUAGAGAUCCGGAAGAACACCGGAGGCGAAGGCGGCUUGCUGGGCGUAGUCUGACGCUGAGGCGCGAAAGCGUGGGGAGCGAACAGG